rnacentral:rRNA from 1 species
CGCCCAUUAGCUAGCCCCUUAACUGACAAUAACAAGUAAUUAUUAAUUAACCCGUGAACCCCACGAAGCAUAACAUAAACAAACCAUUUUUCCCCCUUAGUAUGGGCGACAGAAAAGGGAUAGAGGAGCUAUAGAGAAAGUACCGUAAGGGAACGCUGAAAGAGAAAUGAAAUAAACCAGUAAAGCCCAAAAAAGCAGAGAUUUUCCCUCGUACCUUUUGCAUCAUGAUUUAGCUAGUAAAACUUAAGCAAAGAGAACUUUAGUUUAAUACCCCGAAACUAUGGUGAGCUACUCCGAGACAGCCUUCAAUAGGGCGAACCCGUCUCUGUGGCAAAAGAGUGGGACGAGCUCCGAGUAGUGGUGACAGACCUAUCGAACCUAGUUAUAGCUGGUUGCCUGAGAAAUGGAUAGGAGUUCAGCCUCAUGGCUUCUCCAGUCGAACUUUGCCUACAGGCAUUAGAUGACAAAGUGAAACCAUGAGAGUUAAUCAAAGGAGGCACAGCUCCUUUGAUAAAAGACACAACUUUUACAGGAGGGUACAGAUCAUAAUUUCAUCAAGGCCUGGUGUCCUGGUGGGCCUAAAAGCAGCCACCCAUAAAAAAAGCGUUAAAGCUCAAGCACGCAGCCUCCCUAUUAUAACGAUAAUAGUAUCUUAACCCCCUGGCCCCCAUCAGGCCGUUCCAUGCCUUCAUGGAAGUGAUUAUGCUGAAAUGAGUAAUAAGAGAGCCAGACUCUCUCCCUGCACAAGUGUACCUCGGACCGGACUAUCCACCGAGAAUUGACGGCCCCAGUAAAAGAGGGAAGUGAUGAACGAAAGAGAUAACAAGAAGAACCCUCAAAAGCUUUCCCGCACCGUUGAUCCCACACUGGAGUGCUACCGGGAAAGACUAAAAGAAAAAGAAGGAACUCGGCAAACACCUAGAGCCCCGCCUGUUUACCAAAAACAUCGCCUCUUGCAAAAUUAACAAAUAAGAGGUCCCGCCUGCCCUGUGACCAGAGUGUUUAACGGCCGCGGUAUCCUGACCGUGCGAAGGUAGCGCAAUCACUUGCUCUUUAAAUGGGGGCCCGUAUGAAUGGCAUAACGAGGGCUUAACUGUCUCCUUUUUCUGGUCAGUGAAAUUGAUUUCCCCGUGCAGAAGCGGGGAUGACACCAUAAGACGAGAAGACCCUAUGGAGCUUUAGACGCAAGGCAGACCACGUUAAUCACCCCCGUUAAAGGAUUAAACUGUUUGGUUACUGUCCGAAUGUCUUCGGUUGGGGCGACCGUGGGGAAAAACAAAACCCCCAUGCGGAACGGGAAUACUAUUCUCCUAGCUAAGAGUCUCCACUCUAAUAAUCAGAACCUCUGACUUUAAUGAUCCGGCAAUGCCGAUCAACGGACCAAGUUACCCUAGGGAUAACAGCGCAAUCCUCUUUUAGAGCCCAUAUCGACAAGGGGGUUUACGACCUCGAUGUUGGAUCAGGACAUCCUAAUGGUGCAGCCGCUAUUAAGGGUUCGUUUGUUCAACGAUUAAUAGUCCUACGUGAUCUGAGUUCAGACCGGAGUAAUCCAGGUCAGUUUCUAUCUAUGCUAUGAUCUUUUCUAGUACGAAAGGACCGAAAAGAAGAGGCCCCUGCUCCAAGUACGCCUCACCUCCAACUGAUGAAAUCAACUAAAACAGUCAAGGGGGCAUGCCACCCUGCCUGAGAUAAUGGCGUGUUAAGGUGGC